UUAAGCAUAUCAAUAAGCGGAGGAAAAGAAACCAACAGGGAUUGCCUCAGUAACGGCGAGUGAAGCGGCAACAGCUCAAAUUUGAAAUCUGGCCCUUUCGGGGUCCGAGUUGUAAUUUGCAGAGGGUGCUUUGGCGUUGGCCGUGGUCUAAGUUCCUUGGAACAGGACGUCACAGAGGGUGAGAAUCCCGUACGUGGCCGCCGGUCUUCGCCGUGUAAAGCCCCUUCGACGAGUCGAGUUGUUUGGGAAUGCAGCUCUAAAUGGGAGAUAAAUUUCUUCUAAAGCUAAAUAUUGGCCAGAGACCGAUAGCGCACAAGUAGAGUGAUCGAAAGAUGAAAAGCACUUUGGAAAGAGAGUCAAAAAGCACGUGAAAUUGUUGAAAGGGAAGCGCUUGCAGCCAGACGUGCCCGCAGUUGCUCACCUAGGCUUUUGCCUGGGGCAUUCUUCUGCGGGCAGGCCAGCAUCAGUUCGGACGGUUGGAUAAAGGCCUCUGUCACGUAUCUUCCUUCGGGAUGACCUUAUAGGGGAGGCGCAACACGACCAGUCUGA
rnacentral:rRNA from 1 species